rnacentral:rRNA from 1 species
GAUGAACGCUGGCGGCGUGCUUAACACAUGCAAGUCGAACGGUAAGGCCCCUUCGGGGGUACACGAGUGGCGAACGGGUGAGUAACACGUGGGCAAUCUGCCCCUCACACCGGGAUAACUCGGGGAAACCCGAGCUAAUACCGGAUACUUCGUCGAGGUCGCAUGGCCAUGACGAGAAAGCUCCGACGGUGAGGGAUGAGCCCGCGGCCCAUUAGCUUGUUGGUGAGGUAACGGCUCACCAAGGCGACGAUGGGUAGCCGAGCUGAGAGGCUGAUCGGCCACACUGGGACUGAGACACGGCCCAGACUCCUACGGGAGGCAGCAGUGGGGAAUCUUGCGCAAUGGGCGAAAGCCUGACGCAGCAACGCCGCGUGCGGGAUGAAGGCUCUCGGGUCGUAAACCGCUUUCAGCAGGGAUGAAACUGACAGUACCUGCAGAAGAAGCCCCGGCUAAAUACGUGCCAGCCGCCGCCGUAAGAC